rnacentral:rRNA from 1 species
UACGUAGGGGGCGAGCGUUGUCCGGAGUUACUGGGCGUAAAGGGCAUGCAGGCGGUCCGACACGUUUUGUGUGACAGCGGGUGGCUUAACUACCCGAGGAUACGAAAGACGGUAGGACUUGAGGACUCGAGAGGGACACGGAAUUCCGGGUGGAGUGGUGAAAUGCGUAGAGAGUCCGGAGGAACACCGAAAGGCGAAGGCAGUGUCCUGGCGAGUGACUGACGCUGAGGUGCGAAAGCCAGGGGAGCGAACGGG